GAGAGAGAAGUGGUUGCAGAGAGAAGAGAGAAAGACACACACAGACAAAUAAACGCAGAGAAAGAGAGAAGGGGAGGUGACCACGGAUCUCUCUGAGAGUAGCGCUGAAGAGCAGGCACAUGCACAUGGAGAGGUUUUUCAGAUGGUGUUGUCUUUUGAAGCAGAUGGUGAACCUGUUUGUAAAACAAUCAGAUGGAUGCGCUGCGUAGAACUCAAAUGGCCCUAUCAUUUUUGAAGCUGACAGAUUGUUGAAUCAGGUUUAGGGAACAACCCUAAUUUUUUCACCUGUUUUUGCCUUAAUGUAAUAUUCUUUGAGCUAUGUUACGUUUGCGGAUUUUUGAGCUAUGUUAAUUUUCUAUGCAUGUUUUUUCCUAAUGUAUUUUCUCCUAGGUUCUUUGAGAUGGUUCUCUAUCGGUUGUUAUCUUUCUCUCUCUCUGUACUAAUAUCGAGCAUUAUAAACAGUGAUUGCUAACUAAUUAAUAAAUUUCCUAAUCUAUUUUCCCCUAAUUUCUCUCUAUGAGUGAUUCUCUUUCUCUCUCUGUGUAUUGGAGCUUUAUAUCGAGCAUUAUGAACAGGGAUUAAUACUUAGCAAAUAAAUCAUCAAUAAAAUGAGUUCAAAAAAUAAAAAUAAACUAGUGUUCAAUACAAUAUAAAGCUGCAAUACAAUAAAGCCUAUAAAUCUAUGUGAGCAUUCUUUGAUUUUCUAUAAUAAAUCAUCAGCCAUAUGCAAUGAGCCCGUUUUAGGAUUUUUUUUUUAAAAAAAAAGCAGAGAAAAGGUAAAUGAACUUUUUA
rnacentral:lncRNA from 1 species